GACGAACGCUGGCGGCGUGCUUAACACAUGCAAGUCGAACGGAAAGGCCUGCUUUCCCUUGUGGAUUGCGGGUACUCGAGUGGCGAACGGGUGAGUAACACGUGAGUGAUCUGCCCCCAACUUGGGUAUAAGCCUGGGAAACUGGGUCUAAUUCCCGAUAGGACUGCAGGGUGGUGCCUGUGGUGGAAAACGAUUUUCUAGUGGUUGGGGAUGAGCUCGCGGCCUAUCAGCUUGUUGUUGGGGUAAUGGCCUACCAAGGCGGCGACGGGUAGCCGGCCUGGGAGGGUGGACGGCGACAUUGGGACUGAGAUACGGCCCAGACUCCUACGGGAGGCAGCAGUGGGGAAUAUUGCACAAUGGGCGGAAGCCUGAUGCAGCGACGCCGCGUGGGGGAUGACGGCCUUCGGGUUGUAAACUCCUUUCGACCGCGAGGAAGCCACCUGGUUGGAAGGGUGGUGACGGUAGUGGUAGAAGAAGCACCGGCUAACUACGUG
rnacentral:rRNA from 1 species